rnacentral:rRNA from 1 species
GACGAACGCUGGCGGCGUGCCUAAUACAUGCAAGUCGAACGCAGUGGGGACGGGUGAGUAACACGUGGGUAACCUCCCAUCAGAGGGGAUAACACUUGGAAACAGGUGCUAAACCGAUACGGAUGGAUGGAACCGCGGUGCAUGAGCUAGUUGGGGAGGUAACGGGUAACCAAGGCCACGAUGCAUAGGCGCCCCUAGAGGGUGAUCGGCCAACCUGGGACGGAGACACGGCCCAGACUCCUACGGGAGGCAGCAGGGGGGAAUAUUGCACAAUGGGCGCAAGCCUGAUGCAGCCAUGCCGCGUGUGUGAAGAAGGCCUUCGGGUUGUAAAGCACUUUCAGCGGGGAGGCGUUACCCGCAGAAGAAGCACCGGCUAACUCCGUGCCAGCAGCCGCGUAAUUC